GGGAAACUGCCCCCAUGAUUCAGUUACCUCCACCUCGCCUCUCCCUUGACUUGUGGGAAUUACAAGGAUUAUACUUCAAGAUGAGAUUUGGCUGGGGACACAAAGCCUGAGCAUAUCACUAUCGCUCUCAGUCUUGUCCGACUGGCCUCGUGUAGGAGAAGGCUCUCACCUAUCUGUCUGACCAGAGAUUUUAAGAGACGAGGUCUCACUAUGUUGUCCAGGCUGUACAGAUGUGAACCACCGCACCCAGCUAAGAUGAUUUUUAUGCAAGGCCAUCAAACUCCAAAUGGUCGUGCAACCGGAGCCUCGGAAGAUGGCGCCUUCUGCCGGGAACCCUUAGAUAGGCUUCUGAGGGAGCUCUGACUGCCGUUUCCCAAAACACCGCUCCCUGUUAGCAGGAAGCAGUUUAGAUCGGUCUUCGUCCUCACCCCUAUCCUUGUUCUAACAGUAGUUUGAUGUACUUCUUGAGAGGGGGGAAUGAGACAGCCAAGUGUAAAGGGGUCCCCAGAGAACCUCUGACAAACCCGCACACUGGGAGGAAUGUGCACUGGGGUGGAGCCUCUGGAAGUUCGUGCUGAGGAGCCUGGCCCCUCCUCUUCCAGGGUGGAACCUGGGAUUCAACCUGAGAGGUGGGAAGCGUGUACUAGCAGGACUCUCACUCUGCCGAGGGUCCCCGUUUCCCCGCUUUUUUUUUUUGCCCAAUAAAUUCCAUUUUUCUCACCCUUCAAAGUGUCUGCAAGCCUAAUAUUUCAUGGCCAGGUGACAAGGACCCUGUCUUUGGCUGAACUGAGGAGAAACUCCUACAACAUUACCAUCCAGCAAUUCCUAUUUUUUUUUUUUUUUUUUUUUGAGACAGGGUCUCACUCUAUCAACCCAGGCUGGACUGCAGUGGCACAGUCAUAGCCCACUGCAGCCUCUACCUCCUGAGCUAAAGAGAUCCUCCCAUCUCAGCUUCCUGCAUAGCUAGGACUACAGGCGUGGACCACCACACUGGGCUAAAUUUUUUGUAUUUUUAUGUAGAGACGGGGUUUCACCAUGUUGCCCAAGCUGUUCUAGAAUCCCUGGCUCAAGUGAUCUACCUGCCUUGGCCUCCCAAAGUGCUGGAAUUACAGGUAUGAGCCACCAUGCUUGGCUUCCAACCAAUAUUUUAAAGUUCAUGAUGGGAAUGGAGUUUGUCUCAGAUGAUAGAUUUUUAUGGAGCCACAUGCCAAUUUCCUUAGAAUACUUUCCCUCAUGGAUACACCCCACAGAAACUCAGAAUCAUCCCCUCAAUUCUUAUCCCCCCUCAUGCCCAUUUACAAUUAAUCCCUGUUGUCACUUCCAGCCCCAGGCAACUACUAAUCUACUUUCUGCCUCUAUAAAUUUGCCUUCCCUGCACAUUUCAUGUAAGUGAAAUCAUGCCACAUGAAGCCUCUUAGGUCUGGCUUCUUUCACUUAACAUAAUGUUUUUGACGCUCAUCCACGACAUAGCAUGUGUCAUCACGUUUCAUUGCUGCACAGUCUUCUAUUGUAUGGAUUCACCACAUUUUGUCUAUCUACUCACCAGCUGCUAAAAAUUUAGGUUAUUGCCAGCUUGGGGCUAUUAUAUAUAAUGAUACAUAAUAUGAUAUAUCAUAUUUACAUACAUAAAUGAUACAUCAUAUUUACAUACAUAAAUAUGAUUAUUAUUAAUAUUCAUAUUUAAGUUUUGUUAUGUUUGUUUUCGUUUCUCCUGAGUAGACACCUGGGAGUGGAAUUUUGGGUUGUAUGGCAGUUUUACAUUUAACUUUUUGAGAAACUGCCACACUGUUUUCCGAAGGGCUGUACCAUUUUACAUCCCCACCAGCACUGUGUGAGGGUUCCCAUUUCUCCACAUCCUUGCCAAUGCUUGUUAUUGCCUAUCAUUAUUAUUAUUGCCAUUCUAGUAGGUAUAAAACCGUCUAUCACUAUGGUUUUAGUUUCCAUUUUUCUAAUGAUUAAUAAUGUUGAGCAUCUUUUCGUGUAACUAUUCAUAAUUUGUGUACCUU
rnacentral:lncRNA from 1 species